UAGUGGUGCAAUGGGCUGUGGAAUAGUUUUCCUUCUGAGGCGAAAAAUGCAUCCUCGCUUUACCAAUUUAAACGCAGUAUGUCCACUAUACCGGAGACUAGGAUGUGAGUUAAGAUAGUUUGUAAGUACAACACGCCCCAUCUGAAAAUCAACUCAUUGUAUUUUUACAACUAUGUUGUGUAUGGCCAGCGUGGUUAAAUAAAUGUUUAAGUAAGUAAGUAAGUAAAAAGAGUGCUGAACAUCAAGUAUUUAACAGAGCAAAUAGUAUUUUAACCUAACUCACAGAGUCACAAGUGAGUUCACGCUGAGUGCGAUCAUCAGGUGACGGUGUUACAAGUGACGGUUGAAUCACAGAGGAGAGAUAUACAGAGACGAAUCUCGCGGCAAAUUAUGUCACACCGAUCAAAUAAACUUUUAAAUUAUAUUCACUAUAAUUUUA